rnacentral:rRNA from 1 species
GACGAACGCUGGCGGCGUGCUUAACACGUGCAAGUCGAACGGAAAGGCCCUGCUUUUGUGGGGUGCUCGAGUGGCGAACGGGUGAGUAACACGUGAGUAACCUGCCCUUGACUUUGGGAUAACUUCAGGAAACUGGGGCUAAUACCGGAUAGGAGCUCCUGCUGCAUGGUGGGGGUUGGAAAGUUUCGGCGGUUGGGGAUGGACUCGCGGCUUAUCAGCUUGUUGGUGGGGUAGUGGCUUACCAAGGCUUUGACGGGUAGCCGGCCUGAGAGGGUGACCGGCCACAUUGGGACUGAGAUACGGCCCAGACUCCUACGGGAGGCAGCAGUGGGGAAUAUUGCACAAUGGGCGGAGGCCUGAUGCAGCAACGCCGCGUGCGGGAUGACGGCCUUCGGGUUGUAAACCGCUUUCGCCUGUGACGAAGCGUGAGUGACGGUAAUGGGUAAAGAAGCACCGGCUAACUACGUG